GGAAUCAGAAGCACACAUACUUUUACCUUUCAGACUUGUAGGAGGACUCCUAUCCAAUGUAUACCGAGCUCCAAAACAAGCAAGUAGAGUAGAUUAAGGUUGGAAGUCAACUUUGGUUUCUCCAGACAUUCUCAGCAGGUGUGGAUGUGAGCAUUAUGUGAUACACUGCGGUGUUUCUAUCUAAUACAUCCCGCAAUCAGUAAAUCUAGAUGAUGCGAGAGAGUGAUUAGAGUAGCAAUCAAAUUAUAUUUGAUCAUAAUCCCCUUCUUGACUCGAUAAUUUUUUUUUUUUGAAAUCAUUUGAUAAGACUCAGAAUAAACUAGAUAUCAGUAAACCUCUUCCCAGUGUAAUUUAAGUCUGGGAUAAAUCCCCUUCUUGACUCGAUAAUUUUUUUUUUUUUUGAAAUCAUUUGAUAACUCAGAAUAAACUAGAUAUCAGUAAACCUCUUACCAGUGUAAUUUAAGUCUAGUGAUAAAUAAAUCAUAAGUACUCAAUUUAACAAGUUAGAACGAUAUACCUGACCGGAUUAAGUGUCGAUCGAUGGAAAGG
rnacentral:lncRNA from 1 species